CCAUAUCAUUUAAAAUUCAUAUCUUGUUUAUGAAAAUUUCACAACUUUUACCUGAUGCACUCCAGGCCCGCGAGAGAACAAGGUGAAAAAAGUGUUAAAAAAAACUGUCAUGUACACCCACAUUUGUAUGAUUUCUCAAAUCGCUCUCAUGGUUUGAUGAGGCAUUAAUUUAAAGUUGACCACACCCAAAUAAAACAAUAGUUUUUUAAUUGUUAAUAACCCUUUCCUCGAAAAUGCUUCCCUACCAAUUAUGAGUUUUUGCUGCAAUCCAUAUUUCCGCUAUUAUCCACCAGGUGGCGCUCUUACCUAACUAAUACAACCUGGAAGUAUCUCCUUAGGUUCAAACUCUUUGUAUGUUUUGAUCAUCACUCUGAAUCAAAAGUCAACUUUUUAAAAAAACGUUGGUGGGGAAAGAGUUAAAAGGCUUUAAAUCAAAUUGUGGACUGGGUGUCUCUCUUCAUUCCCGUAAAAUAAAAAUAAAAAAAUUUCUAUAAGUCUGCACUGAGCUACCUGCACUGACCUAUAUGAAUUGACCUUAAAGGGCACCUAUUAUGCAAAAUUCACUUUUACAAAGUGUUUGGACUUAAUGUGUGUUGGCAGUGUGUGAACAUAACCACCCUACGAUAAAAAAAUCCACCCGUCCUUUGUUUUUUAAUCCUCAUUAAACCAAAGUAGUCUUUUUAGACAUGUCAUUUUGAUUCUCUUAUCAAUGUGAGGUCACAUUGAUAAAGCCCCACCCACUAACAGUCCACCCUCAGUGAGUUGUACACUGACCACUAGAUGCUGUUGUCUCAAACUGUAUUAAUCAGAUCUAUUUGAACUGAAAGUGCUUACUGUCUGUUUGUAAGGAAGUGAGGAGCUAGCUCAUUUGCAUUUAAAGGUACAGACAUUAAAACAGCGCAUAUUUUCUCCCACCCAAAUAAUGGCAUUUUUGACAUACAUGCUAUAAUAAAUGAUCUAUGGAAUAUUUAGAGCUGAAACUUCACAGACACAUUUUGGGAUUACCUGAGACUUGUAUCUUGUAAAAAAGUAUUAUAAUAAUAAUAAUAAGUGCCCUUUAAACUUUUGCUAGUGUGAGGAAUAAACAAGAAACAUAUCAAUCAUCAAUUUUAACAUCUUGACAUAUUUUUGAAUCAGAUGGCUAAAAAUUAAAAAUCUUUCUCAUAUGGACAUAAAAUUGUCAGGCACAAUCCAUUAAAUCAAACAAGCAGCAUAUAGAAUUUAACAAUUAUUAUUGCAUAACAUGUUUUCAUAUAUGUUAAUGUCAUUUUCAAUAUUAGGUUUACAUUAUAAACAAUGUGGCAAGAAAUGAAGUAGUAUUUCAUUCUGAGCACAGUCAAUGUAUCUGUCUUCCUGUGUGGCCCCAGUUAGUGUUUGCAGAUGAGAAUCAUAUUUUCAUGGCUUGUAUCAAGUAUUUAUUUUUGAGUAUAUACUUUGCACUUUCAAUUUGCAUGAUUAUAUUUUAGACGAUGGCGUUCUAAACAAACAGAAAAGCAGCCCUAUACACACCACUGUCAGAUCAAGCCAUGAAAGCACUUUAGAGAUGUUAUUCAAUUUGAGAAAAUAAAAACAUGAUAUAAAUGUUACUGUAUUAAAACAGUGGUUCUUAACUGGCAGUUUGUGACACAAAAAAUAGAUUUCAUGUUUUACACAAAAGGGACGAGAUAUUGUGCCUCACAGGUCCACGAUGCUACACAUUUAACUUACCCCAAGCUAACCUUCUGAACAAAGGUAAUCUAACUAUACAUACAGACCUUACAUAAAUACAUUACAUAUAUUGUACAUCAUGAGUACAACUAAAUCUAAACUUGAAAAUAACUAAAAACUAAAACGUUUUUUUGUGAUUUACUGUUUUCUACAUAAAAUCAUCCUACAAAAUGUAAAAAUAUAACCUUGAUAUUUUUUUAAAUUGAUCAUGUCAAAGAUGAAGAGAUUAUGAGACUUUAACCUGGAUUUUAAAAACAGGGUCACAAAUAUAUGGGCCGCUAGCUAGGUCAAAAAACAAAACCAGUUGAGAACCACUGUUGCUUUGUUUGUGUGCUUUGGAUGCUAAGCAAGACUGGAUGUUUGUGAGCAGAUUGAAAAUGUGUUGCUAAACUUAAACAGAAAGUAAUAUUGUACAAUGACGCACCGUUCUCCUGGUGUACUGUAAUCUAUGCAUGACGUCAUUCGAGCCAGGCCCAUUCAGGGCUCUAUACAAAUGUGUAUUUGUGCACUUUUUACUGUGAAGUGUGCAUGGCCUUUAUCUGCUUAUACCAGAGGAGACUUGAGAUCAGUAUGUGUCGUAGUGACUCAUUAUUAUGACAUUAUGACAUUGACAUUUUUACAGGCUACUUGACAAACAAAUGUUCUUCAGGUUUCAUCAGAUACACUUGGUUGUGUAUGAAAUGUCUUUAUUUAAAAUGCCUGUUAAAAGCAUAUGAAACAAUAAAGAUCAUGUUUAGCAGUAACGACCAACA